AAUCUCAGGUUUUAUCUUCUUGAAAUCUGCAGUCUUUCUUUAUAUUAAACCCUUUAAUUUCCUUAUUUGGUUUCAAUCAAUAGCAUUUGGAAUCCCUUAUAAUUAUUCAAACCUAUUGGUUUCUUAAAUUUUUGAAUCUACAGCAAUAUCCUCAAUAUUAUCUUAAAUUUCCUCAAAAAACCCAAAAGUCCAAACGCUUCAAAUCAAUACAUCUCUAUGAGAUUUCCUCAUGCUUGCAUUUUUCAAUCAUUUAUGGCCCCAAAUAAAUGGAUUGUGAUUUUAUCACCAAAUUCUGGACAACAUCAAGCUACGUGUGGAUCAUCGCUUUCCAUGGCACUAUCGCUUUUUCUACUUCAAUCCAAAGCAGAUUUUGUGUUUCUGAAAAGCAUAAGCGGGAAAAUUAUUUAAUGGGUUACAAAACCUUAAGCUCAAAGUCGAAAGGAAUUGAACCAAUAAUUCAAUUCUGAAAUCUUUGAUCUGUUUUAAUUUGUUCCAGUCAUUGAGAUUUGAAAAAACAUGCUUAUGUAUGUAUUGGCAGUAGAUUGAAAGUUGAUUUUCAUUGCCAGUGGGUAUGUAUAACUCUAUAUGGGAACAAAGAUGAGAUUGUGAGAGCUUGGGAUACCAACUGUGUUCAGGUUGUGCUUAACUUUGUUUAUUUUUAAUGUUUCUUUUGUUGGUACACAAGUUAAGAGUUUAAACUUUAAUGUAAUUAGAGAUAUCAGAUUCUUCUCAUUUAUACAUUUGAAAAUAUUUUUUCAAUGAGUUGUUAUAGAUUGAUGGAGUUUGAUUGUGAAUACUUAGAGACGAGGAAGGCAUCAUUCCUUCUAAAGUCAAUAUGCAGCUAAAUGAUGAAAAGCAAUCUAUAGUUUAGUUUUUGUAACCUUACAUUCCUAAUUACUGGAAACAAAAGACAGAUGCAAGAUGUAUGAUAGAGUGUUUAAGAAGCAUGGAGGUCAGCAAAUGCUUUUCAACAGGAGUGGUCAUUUGUGAAAAGUAUAUCUCCCUAUAUUAAUUUUUAAUGUUAUGCCUUCUAAUGAAGGUUUUUUUAUCUAGGUUUAACAACAAGGGAUUAUUGAUAAUCAUAAGUUUCAAGCAUUUCUUAUGUAGACUAUUACUGUUGAUACUAUACAAGAAAAUUAUACACCAUCGCA